rnacentral:rRNA from 1 species
GCCGCGGUAAUACGGAGGGUGCGAGCGUUGUUCGGAAUUACUGGGCGUAAAGCGCACGUAGGCGGCGAUUUAAGUCAGAGGUGAAAGCCCGGGGCUCAACCCCGGAAUAGCCUUUGAGACUGGAUUGCUAGAAUCACGGAGAGGUGGGUGGAAUUCCGAGUGUAGAGGUGAAAUUCGUAGAUAUUCGGAAGAACACCAGUGGCGAAGGCGGCCCACUGGACGUGUAUUGACGCUGAGGUGCGAAAGCGUGGGGAGCAAACAG